CCACUUUAAACUACACAGCAGUGAAAAGGAAAACCAAAAACAUUUGAAUUAGAAGAAAUUUCUAGGCUAUUUUAAACUCUUCUAUAUAAUAUACAUAAAUAUCAAAAAAUUUAUGAACAUUUAGUAUAUGUUUUUAUAUAAAAACCAAUACAUUGCAAUGCCUUAGACAGACUUCAAGGAUGUAUAGAUUAUUUAAUUGGAAGCCUAGCGAUUAGAAAUUAACGAGUUAGUCAAUUUAAUCUGUCAUGCUUGAAAAGUCAAAAGUCAAAAAUAGAUUUUUUGGUCUAAAUGCAUUUGGAACUCCGUAAAACUUGCCUAAUAUUAUACGAAUCUUUUAAGAUAUUUUCCCAACGUGUACUGCUGAGUCUGUGCUCCAUUUCCCAUUGUUGUGCUGCGUUCCUUUAUUUUUUAAUCACAUUGCUGGGCUGUUUACCAAGGCUUUGUUUUGUGCUCCCACAGCAGCUGCUGCUGCUGCUGCUUUUGCAACAGCUAAGGCUGUACUGCUGCUGCUUUUGGUCGUGCUGUUUUAGCUGCACUGGCAGUGGGUAAAUAUCCAGCGGCGGCCUUUGUUUUUUAGCCCAAGCACCUGGCCAACUUCCUGGCAGCCAGCCUUUCCUGGCCGCCAUUCAAACGGCUCCCCAGCUCGCUGUUUGUUUUGGCAUUCAAAUUACAUUUCCCUACAUGGAUUCGCAUUAUGCUGAGUGUACGUUUGAGCCAGGGAUUGUGAAUGGCAAGCGGAACGUACGCCAACUGCGGCCCGGAUAUUUAAUCAGUUUGCUGCUGUCUGUUGAGUGCUGCAGUUACACACUGCACUUAGUCGCAUUUCGCAUUUGUUUUACGGCGAAUAUUUGGCCUAAGGUUUCCCAGGAGCAGGAUGAAACACUGCCACCUGAGGCCGCUCAGCCCGGCAUUAGCCCAGUUCCGCAUCCUUUGUCUUUGUCGCCCUGAGCCUUGGCCAAAUAUUUGGAUUGUCAUUGACUUGGCGAUGGCUUAGGCUUAAGUGUGGUUCGGGGUCAAAGGCCAGAUCAGUGUGGAAAGUAAAAGGGGUUGAUGAUUCCAUAUUUACAUUCAGAUUAGUACAUUGUUUUCAGUGCAAUUUAAAUAUGCACAAUGGUUCCAGAGCAAACGGAAGAGGAUAAUCACAAAAGGCAUUCAAGUGUAUUAAAAACACAACUCACUGGGAAAAUAAACAAAAUCAAACUCGUUAGGUCAACAAGCUACAAGGUUAUUCUAUGUUCCACUAUUGUAAAUAUUUGUCAAGCAAGAAUUAAUUUAAUUAAAUUGCCAGAAAAAUUUAGUUAAAUGUAUGAAGGUGAAGUACAGCAUUGUAAUAAUUCGGCUGCUUUUGAAAUAAAAUGUGUUCACUUCUUUCAAUACACUCCUGGAAAAUAAAAUAUCAUUGCUUAGCUUUGAACAUUUUCGGAAAAGCCACAAAAAAGUUUUUCCCACAGUACCAUUUCAGUUCAAUUAUUUAACAAUUCUACAGAGCCACAAAAUGAAGUAACCACAAAUCGUGAACUCUUUAGCUGACUUUAGUUGCCACAUCGAUUAUGUCUUCAGCUGGGGCAUCGCUCAAACUUUCGUUCCCCGAUAUUUUCUGCCAGCACUUGAAACUUGGCCGUUACACUACUUAGUUGUUCUGGCCGGGCCAAGAGCCCUGCACGCAAAGGGAAAGCCAAAUGGGAUGGUUCAGUCAACAACUUGAAAGGCAAUUAGCGCACUUCUCGUUCGGGCUUAACUGGGUUGGGCCGUGUUGGCUCUGGGUCAUCGGGGCCAAAUGCGAGUCAUGGCCAACAGUUUAGCGAGCACAUUAACUUUAUUAGCGCGAUACAAUUGGGUAAACAGCGGCAAGUGCAGCCACCCACACAUCCUAAUCCACAUCCUCAUCGGCGCAAAGACAGCUGAGUAUAUCAACAGUGUGUGCUGAUAAUUAUGCGGCACAUUGGGAACAAUGGCGCCCGACCCUCGUCGUAAGCCCUUUAUGCCCCACAAACGAGGAGCGGCCAACGAAAGCCUCGGAAAACUAAUAAACAACAGCAGACGCGGCUGUUUGGGUGUCACUACGCAAUCGCGAUCAAUAAAAAUUAAUUAUUCAGCAUACAUGCAUAUGCGGUAAAGUACAGGCCAUCAACUUUCGCUAGCACUAAUCCCGCCAAUGGCUUAUUUAUGGCCAGCACAUAUAGGGGACUGCCUCCCUUAAAAUUCAGAUAAACAGAGAAAGAAAUCUGUGAAAACUAAGUAACCAAAGGAGUUUUAAGAAACACUUGUAUAACUUGGUAUCUAAAAUUGGACUUUUAAAAUUGGUUGCUUACUAUUAGACACUUCUAUAGAUACUUUUUCUUGAAAAGAUAUUCCAAAGUUUCUUUCUCAGUGCACUUCCAUGCGUGUUGGGAUCCGGAUCCUGGCAGGACCUUUCUUUGUGUGACUUCCAGCUGCGGGUUUCGGUCGCGUUGUCGCUACAAUAUACCCGUUAAUUUACAUGACAAAGUAGCAGGUCGCGGUCGGAAAAACGAUGGGAAAAAAGGGAUGAAAAACGAGCGGGCCACCACCGACAGACAAGUAAAUGAAAAUGUUUAAAUUUGCCGAGGCAAUUCAAACAAAAACGGCGCUGGAGGCCAGCGGGAAGAUUGGAAUAAAAAAUUCAAUUCGAGCCGGACAUCGAAUUUCAUCCACUUUGUCCUUGACGGCGGGCAAUUGCAUUUAAUUAAAUGCAAUCGAUGCCAUCGACAGCGAUAUGACAAAGUUUUGUCAACACACAUGAGCCGGGGAAAUUUAGAAAGGUGGCAAAGGUGAAAUCUGCUGACGGUUUCUUAUCGAAAGUUGGAAAGCUCAUUUCGGUUGUCAGGACUUGCCACGUGAUUUAUCCAAAUUGCACACAUGUCCUCGCCGCAACUUUGGGGUGAAAUGAAACUUAAUUUGCCGAAGAAUUCUUGCGGAAAAUUCGCCAGAAUCUAUGUGACAACAUUGUACUGUGAUAUAUAUGAGUACACUUCUCGACUUUUAUUUUAUUUAUUUAUUUGGCUAUACUUUAAAAUUUAACAUUCUGUUUAUAUUUUUCGCUUAAUUUUAUGCUCAAUAUUUAUCCAUGCCAUGAUGAACAUACUUUUUAAUGGGCUUUCGAUUUUCCGCUUUAUCUGACUAUAUUUACAUUUCGCCAUCAUUCACAUUAUAGUUUUACGCUUUUAUUAUUCUUUCAUAAAUUGCUAUUUUCUCUCAUUAUGCAACGCAAUUUUACGGCGAAUAUUUCGCAAAUGUACUUUAAUAUAUAAUGUUAUUCAGCUUUUGAUUUAUAACCUCUAAGCCACCAUUUCAAUGUGCUUUCGUUUGCACCGCUUUUCCCGCAUUCAUGGGCUGCAUCGUUGAUAUUCCAUUCAUGUUUAGUUUAUUUGCAAAACAAAAAGCAAUUUCGGCAACAAUUUAAUUGAAGCCCGAAACCUGUCGCUCCACCUUUAGCUGCCACCUGCACACACCUGUUCAAAGCCCACUCACCGGUUGGCUUAGAGCUCAGUGCUCCGUGCUCAGUGCUCAGAAACUCGGUCCGUUAUCCUGGGACAUACACUCCUGGUUAUAGUCCUCCACAUCCGCACAUGGCAUAUAGAUAUAUAGAUAUAUAUCUAUCUGCUGGCAACGAGCCAGCGAAGAGCAACAACGACAACAAGGCCAAAAAGGAACGUUGUCGUCGAAAGUUUGUCACAUUUUGCAGGCAAAAACAUUUUCAAUAUGCAAAGGCCGUUAAUAUGACAGUCGGAAAAGCAGUUGGUGAGCAUUCGGUACUCCGCAUACAGGACCAUGCAUUUAAAUUGCCUCUGUUUUAUGGGCUAAGUAUAGGGCAACAUGGCGUAUGCGUAAUAUGCUGCAUAAUGCGUGUUUAGAUCAAAAUUGAAUUGCGCAUUAUACAUGUCGAAUACGUGACGCGCUCAGCCGCAUCACCAUGUGCCCUUUGACCCGCCGACGGGCUCAGGAUCACAUUUUCACUGCAUUGUCCAAAUGAUUCGUGUUCCUUUUCCUUUUUUUUUUUCUGUUUACCAAACGAGUGUGAGUGACAGAGCUGAUUUUGCCCAGCUCGGCCGGAAAAUGGUUUGUUUUCCCAGAUUUUUGCUUUAAAUCUUUUUCGUUUUUCAUUUCGGGCCAUCAAUCAAACUAUUAUUUGCUGAAAUAAAUUAUAAACUUCAGAACUCUGGCAGCACAGAAAAGAACAUAGAUUGCAGUUUAUUGAGAUAAAUGUGAAUUUAUAUUUAUUUAGUUGGAAUUAAGUUUGCUGGGGGUGCCUUUUCUGUUUGAUAUUUAUAAUAAUACCUUUUUGAAAUGAUUGUUUCUCUUAUAAAUUACCAUGAUCUCAAUAAAAUUAUUAUGAAAUAUAUGAUGUUUUAUUUGCCAGCUCAUAUAGUUAUGCAUUUUAUUUCGCUCUUUGACUUCCAGCUUUUAAUUUUUAUCAUUUUAGUAAGGUCACAAAUAAAAAUGUGUUCCAUUUAAAAUGUUCAUUAACUUCAUUUUUCCAUUUCUAGCCAGCUUUUAGUAUUGAAUCCAUGUGAAAUCAAUGAAAUUAUCAGGAGACAUGAUUGGAUUUAAAUAUUUAUGCUCGGUUAUCAGUUUGAAUUUAUGUGGGUUUUCAUAAUUUUUCAUAUUGUUCCAUCUUAUAUUUUUAAAUACUCAAUCAGCUUAAAAUAUGGUUCUAGUGAAUUUUUAUGCUUCUGUUUUCAUUCUCUUUGCACUCUUCUAAUCAAGGUAAUCAAAAUGAAAUAUUAUACAUUGUAUAAAAUCCUUUCAAUCCCUUCAUUUUGAGUCCAUUGAGCACCACUCACUCAAGGAAUUUCACCAACUAAUCCAAACCAGCAGCAGCAGCAGCUAACCGGACGAUCAGAAUGCGUUUAUUACCACGCUAAUCCCGUAAAUUCAUUAAUAAAUGUCGACGAGCGAGCCGAGCAUAAUCCAUUUUGCUCAAUCUCCCCCCGUGGCAACAUCCGUUCCCCUUUCCCCCCUUGGGGCACAGUCCGCUGACUGCACACAAUACAGAUACAUAUAUCCGGGGGAAUAUAUCACGGCUGGCUGGGCAGGAGCAGCUGCUCCACUGGGCUCUUCCUGUCCGGGCAGCUGGAACCAGUCAAAGUGGCAAAAAAAAAACAA